rnacentral:lncRNA from 1 species
AAACCUUUUCCAUGAUGGCUCAUUGUUUCAUUAAAAGUUGCUCCAAACAUUUCACCUUUCCGUUGUGGCUCUCCCCUCUUCUCUCAAACCUUUUCUUUCUGUCAGCACACCCAACACAUCCUCAGGUCUCACCCCUAUGAAAUAUACUCUCACCCGGUUACACUUCUCUCUUCCAAGCACUUUAGAAUAUACAAUAUUGAUUUCCUCUACUGUUAUUUCAUCUGGUUUUUUUAUUUCUAAUAUCAAUGAUCUUUGAAUUCAUAUAUAUAUAUAUAUAUAUGUUAACUGUGCAUUCUACUACAUGGACG